rnacentral:rRNA from 1 species
AUUGAACGCUGGCGGCAGGCCUAACACAUGCAAGUCGAACGAGUCGCGGACGGGUGAGUAAUGUCUGGGAAACUGCCUGAUGGAGGGGGAUAACUACUGGAAACGGUAGCUAAUACCGCAUACCAUCAUAUGUGCCCAGAUGGGAUUAGCUUGGUGGGGGGGUAACGGCUCACCAAGGCGACGAUCCCUAGCUGGUCUGAGAGGAUGACCAGCCCCACUGGACCUGAGACGCGGUACAGACUCCAACGGGAGGCAGCAGGGGGGAAUAUUGGACAAUGGGAGCGAGCCUGAUCCAGCCAUGCCGAGUGUAUGAAGAAGGCCCUCGGGUUGGAAAGUACUUUCAGCGGGGAGGCGGUACCCGCUGAAGAAGCACCGGCUAACUCCGUGCCAGCAGCCGCGGUAAUAC